rnacentral:lncRNA from 1 species
GUUGUUUUUGCUACAGUGAGACUUCACGGUCAAGACAUCCUGCUCUCGUUCCUCUCACAGACCAUUUAAUCUGGGGCACAAACAGGAAUCUCCAUCCCAUCCCACACAAAGGGACCUGUUCAUGUGGACGAUGCCACACAUCCCUCAGACAGCAACAUUUUCAGACAGCAGAGUUGGCACCCGGACGAGAAGGAAUCGACACGCUAGCAUUGAAGCCUCAUGGGGUCUAUAGGCAGACAGCGGGAUGGAGUUCCAGAGAAUCACAGGUGUGGAAGGAGACGAUAGUGGAGAACAGGUGUGAUUGUAUCACCUGGCUUGUAUUCUGGAUUACAUCACAGCCUAUUACCCACCCUGCACGUGACUGACCUUGUCAAAAGUCCUACUUUUUGGAACGAUAGGAACUCAC